AUGGCCAUCAAAACAGCCACUUUAACUUUAUUGCAGGCGGUUCCCAGCUAUAGUGAAGUGUUGUCCUAUGUCCUCCCAAACAGCAGAUUUGACUGGUUCCCGAACGGUUGUCUGGCUAUUCAGUCACCAUGGUGACAAUCGAGGUGAUCAGGGAGGACAAUUAGAUGUUUGUGGGGAAAAUUGUGACCCUUUUUAUCAUAUUCCCCAAUUUCUUUCCUCCGACCCCACCGCUCUCCCAGUCUUCCCCACCAGCAUCUGAUUGCAAAGUAGUCCUAUGAUCUCCUAUGCGUCCUCUCUGAUCUCUCCAUCCACUGUCACCGUAGCAACUGAAUAUAGCCAGACAGCCGUUCGGGAACAUCUCAUUUGGGACGAUUGUCAUCGCCAGAUGCAUCACACAGGUUCAUUGGACUCACAAACGACAACAAGACAACCGGGUCUACAGCAACAAGACGUCUCUUACGUGAACUAUAGUCUAAUUCGGCAUCCUUCCAAGACGUUACAUAGAUUCUGCGGUUCUUUACUCCUUAAAGAGUUGAUCUCCUAGACGGAGAAUGACGUUUUAUACGCAGUCGAACAUCCUAACCGCAGACUGACGUAAGAAGAGGUCGGUGCGGUCAAGACGCAGCAGUAUUUGUUUAGCGGGAGAUCAGUGGGGACGUCCCGCCCAUAUCUCUCCCUCUCCCCGCUAGUCACGUGCUCCGCCCACCUGUUGGUCAGGUUGCGGUACUGUGGCGGUGGUACGAGCUGAGCGCGUCGCUGUGUGCGUGUGUUCGCCGUCUGUUCGCGUCAUGACGACGUAAUAAUCGCAUCAAGAGGUACGGAGUAACUGUCGGGAUGGGGGUUAGCGUGUCGCGGCGGAUCGAAGCCCGUACCAGGCAGGUCCAGCAGGCGACUCAGGUUGUUGCGGCGUUCCGCGAGGCGUCGUCCGAUGGAAGCAAGCAGUUUACCUCGCCGGUGCCGACCGCCGAGGAGGGGAGUAGGCGCGGGCCGGGCGAGGCGGACGGGCGUGAGGUGGCUUACACGGACACGUCCUCCGCGUGGGCCAUGUUACAGACGGGGGUACAUCCCAAGGACAUAAACGUCGGCGCUCUGCCGAAAAAGAUUCUACGUAACGUCAAGAAUAACAAGCCCCGUGGCAGGAGCAACGGGAAGGUGCACAACAGUACCCAGUGGGACAACCACCAAGAUAACACUAUCGUCAUCCCAUACGAAACUACCGAACAGGUAGAGUCGGACGACUUGUGCUCGGUGUGCGGAGUCUACACUGGGAACGAGAUCUAUCCAUGCAGAGUCUGCUCCAAGGUGUACCAUGAGAUCUGCUUACAGAAGAUCGGGCAGUGCCAGGGUAGAGAAGCCCUCAACCUGCUGUUGCGAGCCAAGACCAACAUUGGGUGGAGCUGCCAUGAAUGUGAAACUCUCGGUCCCCUUCUAACAGAGGAGGAAAUGCAAGACUUGAUAGAUGCCUUCGAGAGAUGCGACAUCAACAAAGACUCCUCACUAUCUCUAGAUGAAUAUCUGAACUACAGACAAAAGACGAUGGAAGAGUUGGACAUCCGCUUAACUGAGGAGGAACUUGACCGAGAGAGGGCAAAGUUCAAGGUCAUGGAUGUCAACCAAACGGGCACCUUGGAUUGGUGGGAGUUCCUCAACUUUGAGGCUGUCCGCAAACUUGGCAGAAGAAGUAAGAACACCUUGGUGCGCCUUCUGUCUGCGAAGGAGAUUGAUAUGGCAAGACAAACCUUUCGAGCCUUCGAUGACAACAACGACGGGAGAAUCACAGAGUUCGAGGCCAGAGAGACCUACAGUAGAUGGUUUGCACGCUUUGUAAAGAAGGAGACUGGUGGUGAUGGGCCUGAACAAAAGAAGACCGCUUCUCUGGAUCUCCAUGUCGACACAAAUGCCCGGAUGUUGAUGGCCGCAGACACAAAAUCUACAGGGACCGUGACGUGGAUGGAUUUCCUCCGUGACCAGGCCCUGUACAUCCUGGCAGCCCGGCCCAACCUGCCCAACUUCCCGCCCGUCAAACAGGCAUGGGAGGCCAACAAAAGAUGAACGUGCACUGAACAUGCCCACUCCCUUGUAUACACCUUUCUCACGGGGCGGCCAUGAUAAUAGAUCCAAACCGAGGCAAUGUGGAAAACAAAAGACUGUCCAUCAUAAUUAGCAGUUCAACCAAUGACAGCAUGGCAAUUAGGAAAUCAACCAAUGGCUGCAUGUCUGUCAAAUACAGUAUGCAUUUAUCAUAUUUGUAUUUUGGAUCUCUUCAGGCACUAUGGGAUCAUGAUCAGUCAAUGCUAUUCUAAAUUGCUACAUCUUUCGGUGCAUAACACUAGUUCUAAAAUUUAUCAUUUGAUCUUAUAUUGUGAAAAUUUGUG